CUCUCAUCAGUCACUCCAACAAGUUGUAACCCAGCAAAAAAUGGCUGUCUAAGAACUCACGAGUCCUGCUGUUCAUAGCGGCCUUUCUCACGGCGAUCUCGUUCCUUUCCUCUGUCUCCGAGGCAGCAAUUGUAGCAGGAGGACCUUUAAACCUCGGUCGUAAGCUUCUUCAAGAGUAUGGAUGGUAUCCACCAACGCCUGGAUAUCCAGGUCCGGGUGGACCACCAUAAAAUGUCUCAGAAAAUAAUAAACUUCAAUCUGGCAACUUAAAGAAAAAGGCACUAUUUCAAUAUUUGCAUUACAAAGUAUCCGAAUUCUUAGUAUAUAAAAAACUAAAUAAUAAUAUCGAGACACCUAUUUGUUGUAAUACUAUGAAAGAGGAGGUGUCCAUGUGAGAGCCAGAGUAAUGCAUAUAUAAUAGUGACUUUAAAUAAUAAUAUCGGGAUAUCUAUUUGUAUCGAUCUUCAUAUAUAUUGAUUGUUAUGGGGUUAAUAAUUCAAACCAGUUCUAGUUCUACUUUGUAAACUGUAUACCAAUAUUAUGAGAAGUUUUGCGUGUUUGUUUUGGCAGCA